UCUCCGUUGGUGAACCAGCGGAGGGAUCAUUACCGAGUUUACAACUCCCAAACCCCAUGUGAACCUUACCAAACGUUGCUUCGGCGGGAUGCCCCGGGCGCGGGCCGCAAGGCCUCGGCCCCGGAACCAGGCGCCCGCCGGAGGCCCAAACCAAACUCUUGUUUUUGUAGAAUCUUCUGAGUGGCCUUUUAGGCAAAAAAUGAAUCAAAACUUUCAACAACGGAUCUCUUGGUUCUG
rnacentral:misc_RNA from 1 species